rnacentral:rRNA from 1 species
AACGCUAGCUACAGGCUUAACACAUGCAAGUCGAGGGGAAACGACAUCGAAAGCUUGCUUUUGGUGGGCGUCGACCGGCGCACGGGUGAGUAACGCGUAUCCAACCUGCCCACCACUUGGGGAUAACCUUGCGAAAGUAAGACUAAUACCCAAUGAUAUCCCACGAAGGCAUCGGAAUGGGAUUAAAGAUUUAUCGGUGAUGGAUGGGGAUGCGUCUGAUUAGCUUGUUGGCGGGGUAACGGCCCACCAAGGCUACGAUCAGUAGGGGUUCUGAGAGGAAGGUCCCCCACAUUGAAACUGAGACACGGUCCAAACUCCUACGGGAGGCAGCAGUGAGGAAUAUUGGUCAAUGGGCGAGAGCCUGAACCAGCCAAGUAGCGUGCAGGAUGACGGCCCUAUGGGUUGUAAACUGCUUUUAUAAGGGAAUAAAGUGGGUCUCGUGAGACUUUUUGCAUGUACCUUAUGAAUAAGGACCGGCUAAUUCCGUGCCAGCAGCCGCGGUAAUACGGAAGGUCCGGGCGUUAUCCGGAUUUAUUGGGUUUAAAGGGAGCGUAGGCCGGAGAUUAAGCGUGUUGUGAAAUGUAGUGGCUCAACCUCUGCACUGCAGCGCGAACUGGUCUUCUUGAGUACGCACAACGUGGGCGGAAUUCGUGGUGUAGCGGUGAAAUGCUUAGAUAUCACGAAGAACUCCGAUUG